rnacentral:tRNA from 1 species
GUAUCGCCAAGCGGUAAGGCAGCGGGUUUUGAUCCCGCCAUUCCCAGGUUCAAAUCCUGGUACUCCAGCCA